CUCCUGUGAUGAUCCAGCCAUGCUAAUACUGAUGUACCAGACUCUUUUGGUCUGGGUGCAAGUGCGUUCAGCUUUCCUUCUCACGCUGACAGUGUCGGCGUGUGUACUGAGGAGA